rnacentral:rRNA from 1 species
UACAGAGGUCUCAAGCGUUGUUCGGAUUCAUUGGGCGUAAAGGGUUUGUAGGCGGCUUGCUAAGUCAGACGUGAAAUCCCCAGGCUUAACCUGGGAACUGCGUCGGAUACUGGAUGGCUUGAGUUCGGGAGAGGGAUGCAGAAUUCCAGGUGUAGCGGUGAAAUGCGUAGAUAUCUGGAGGAAUACCGGUGGCGAAGGCGGCAUCCUGGACCGAGAUUGACGCUGAGGAGCGAAAGCUAGGGGAGCAAACGGG